UACGUAGGGUGCGAGCGUUAAUCGGAAUUACUGGGCGUAAAGCGUGCGUAGGCGGUUCGUUAAGUGCGUCGUGAAAGCCCCGGGCUCAACCUGGGAAUUGCAUUCGAGACUGCAUGGCUAGGAUGCGGAAGAGGGAAGCGGAAUUUCCGGUGUAGCGGUGAAAUGCGUAGAUAUCAGGAGGAACACCAAUAGCGAAGGCAGCUCGCUGGAACGUAACUGACGCUAAGACGCGAAAGCGUGGGGAGCGAACAGG
rnacentral:rRNA from 1 species